AACUGAAGGUACAUUUUUCACCUUUGGUGGACGUGCCCAAAGAUUAAGGCUUUCUGGGAAAUGAUAUAUAAUGAAUUAAAAAGGUAUUUAAAUAUACCUUCCCCAAGAAACCAGAGGCCUUUCUCCUGGGCAUAGUCGGCCAAAUGGUGAUAAAAAGGAUAGAACUUUCUUCAUGUACGCAACAACAGCAGCAAGAAUACUCAUUGCAAAGUAUUGGAAGACACAAGAGCUUCCCACACUGGAGGAAUGGCAGAUGAAACUGAUGGACUAUAUGGAACUGGCGGAAAUGACUGGUAGAAUCCGUGACCAGGGAGAAGAGUCGGUGGAGGAAGAUUGGAAGAAAUUCAAAGACUAUCUGCAGAAACAUUGCAAAAUUAAAGAAUGUUAGAGUGAUGUUGGAUUGAAAAUAAGUGGCUUCCAGCUGUACAGGAUUUAAAGUUAUAGAUAGAUUAAGAUUAAGGAUUAGGAUUAAAAAAGUUUAAGGAAAUGGAAAUUUGGUUUUUAAGAGGUAAAAUUUUAAUGUUAUAUUAUAUUAAGACUAAAGAUUGGGAUUAAAAAAGAGGAAAGAAAUUGCUGGACAAACAAUUUGAACUGGAAUACAAAAGAGGGAGGUAUGAGGAGGUCCAGAAAAUAAGUAAAUUUAAAAAUGGAGAUGAAAAGGUGAUAUUGUUUUUAACUGUUUUUUUUUCUUUUUUGUCUUUUGUUUUUUGUUCUUUUUUUUCUUUUUUGGAUUAUGUAUUGUGUAUUUUUUGAAUUGUGUAUUUCUUUUUUAUGUUCUAUGUUUAAUUUUUUAUGGAAACUUUAAUAAAUAUCA